AACCCGAAAGCUUGCUUAAUAACUAUUCUCCAACCAUUUGUGUUGGUCUAAUAAAAGAUAUCAAAUUCACCCAAGGAACCUUGUGUCUGCCUAUAUCCUUAGACCAACACGGCUACAACCUAAACCCCUGCUUUAAUGAGGAGGCACUUUGCCUGGCUGCAUCCAGAGCACAAAGGCUUGAAAACCAUAAAGUCUCUGUCCCUAAGGUGUCACCAGUAGUAAGGCCGUAUAAGGCUUUGGAGGGUGGCUAAUUGGACCUGGGACACGAAAAAUGUUCCAAAAUAUAAAAAAUAAGGUGCCCAAGAUAUGGUUUUGCAAACCAACUGGAUCUUGCUUUUGGCCCGUGCACACUAGGGUACAAGUGGUGGGUGAACAGCUUUCCAGAGCAGGUUCCUGGUACAUCUGCAAACACUGGUUUCCUGCUGCUGUUUGUCGUCGCUCCGUCCCGUUCUCGAACGCAGACUCCAUUGCACCCCUUCUCCCCGGCCAGUCCCCUCGCUGGCCCAGCUCCCCGCAGGCACCUAAAAUCCUGCAACUUCCCAGCUUCUUGCGGUCGGAGGUUUUGGGGAGGGCAGAGUUAUCUCCUGGGUGGAUAAGCCGCAGCCUUUACAUUAGCAGUAUGCUGCUGAUCCCAUGCAACCCCUCUCCAGCCUUAUCUGUAUGCCUGGCAGCUUCAGGAAUGCAGACAAAGGUGACCUAUUGGGGCAGCAACGGUCUUGCCUGAAGAUUCAGGACAGCUUUCUCUCCAGGGCAAGUCAAUGAGUAACUUGCCGCUGUUAGCAGAAUUCAAGGAGCCGGGCAAACAAUUUGACCUUGUUCAUGCAGCAGUGAGCUCUGUGGCUCUCAGCCUGCAGGAAGAGCAAACAAGCUGGAAGCUAAAGGGGAUGGGGCCGGGCAGGGACGACGGGAUGGAGGGUAUAGCGUGGAAUCAAAUGAAAAUAAAGCAGAGCCUGUCACUAGCUGCAGCAUGACCCUGGUGGGGAAAAAAAAGGAUUGGAGUCUGUUGAAAUUCCUGUCCAUACUCCCACUGUUCAGCUUUCUCAUGGGCUCUGCAGGAGAUGUCUUCAUUUCUUUGCAGGGCUCCUCGCAGUUUGGCUCUUGGCCAUCUUGCAGCUUAACAGUAUUGCCAGUAUUCUUACUGCAGCUCUCGUGAUGCUUUCCCCUGUGCCCCCAGCCCCUGGACUCCUGGGAUCGUGCAACACAAGGACGGCAUACUAUGAAUUUCCCUGGCCUAGGCCCCACAGCCUUGCAUCCGGCACCAAAAAAACCCUCGCUGACAUGACAAGAGAAGCAAGGACCCCGUCAUCAAUCAAAAAGGACACUGAGAGUCCCCAGGAGGGUGGCAAAGCCAGAUUUGGGGUCUCUAUAUCAAACACUUGUCCGGCUACCUGCACCCUGCUGCUUAUGGAUUUGGAUGCAUCUCUCCUCCCAGACCCCUUGCAAGACAGAGCGCUGCUCUUAUCCCGAUGUAAGAAGUUUGCAGCAGAGCGAGGAGCAGAAUCCAGAUCUUCUGCGUCCCACAAUCAUUCACCUUUCCCUGCUGCAGCUUCUGUGGGGGGAAAUACAAAUCAGAGACCAGCAGAUGUAACCCAACGAUCAGCUCUCUACCUUUUCACCUAACUCCGCAGCCCCUACGUAUUUCUUUCAUUUCAGUUUUCUCUAUUGCGUCCUCUCGCAUGGGAUAGACCCUUUGUAGAGCUACCGCAGAGCUCUGAAGAUGCACAAAAUGAGACCGUCAUCCCAGAAAUGCCCGUGUUGUUUUUUGUUUAAAAGCUUGAUAGACGUGCUCAGCUCUAAAAGGAAUAUUUCAAGCACGCGUCCUAGUCAAUACGUUGUCGCAGCAUCCCACACAUUUCUGGUGAUGCCUGGGCCAGCGUGGCAAUAUUAUUAUAUUACAACUUCCUUGAUCCCAGCAGUCACAUAUGGAAGUAAAGGACUAAUUGGUAGAGUUAUAAAAUCACUGAGAUUUGGAGAGGAUCUGCACAGCUGAGCAGUCUGUAUAACCCCUCCGUUAAAAAAGGGCUGGCUCACUGGGGAGUGCAUUAUGUAAUGCAUGCCAUACAUUAUGAUUAUUUUAGGGUUAUGUAUUUUUUUUUAAUAAGUGUACUGUUUAGCGUCACAGUGAAAAAGUAUAGAUCCUACGUAGUUUGUGUUUGGGAAUGGUCUAGAAAGCUUGUCCAAAGAAAAAGCUAUUUGCUUGAUAACCUAAUAAACACUUAUCACUCUCA